GGAAUUCACUACAAUUUCGAACUGAAAACACAGAGAACCUGCCAGUGCAGGAAGAGCUGCGGGCGUCUGUCUGACCCAAGGACUCUGAUGAGACCCCAGAAGUUCCAGAACACACGCGACAGUGGUGAGAGCCCACGCACACUGCCCGGGUUUUCAGGGACAGGUUCCUCUGCUAAGGGCUGCGAAGGCGUAAUGCCGGUCCUGGCAGACGUGAUAUCUAGACGAAGCCUAAGAUUUGAAGCACUCUCACUAUUAUACUGAAGGUCCCUCCCCGCUAGUUUGCGAGCCGAGCACGUGCCUCCACCAACCCGAGCCUCGGUUCCUUUUUUUCUUUUAACGCUGAUGGUCAUGCGGACCUCACAGAGCAGCUGUGGGGUUUGCACAAGCCACCCACUAAACGGAACGAAGCGUCUUGCGAACACAGCAGCAGGCGUCACUCAGGCGGCUGUGUUCUUUAGGUGCGAACUGACCUAACUCUCAGAACAACAGCAGCACCGUCCGGUGAGAAAGCGGACUCUCACCCGGGGGCCCUCUGUCGCCCCGCCUGCAGAUGGAGCACAGAAAACCCGUUCCCGGGGUGCUGCGCGGCGAGCCGGUUCGGUACAAGACUACAUUUCCCAUAUAACUCCGCGCCCGCUCCUUGCCUAGACUUGGCAGCGUUUCCGGUUUUUUAGACGGUUGGAAGAUGUUGACGUUGACCUCUGCUGCGUAGAUCGUCUCAGAAUCCCCAAAUGUUAGGGGUUAAACUUGAAGUCUACCGCCAAAUACAAUGCGUGGUCCUUGAGCAAAUCCUGAUUGAAUAAACAACAGCUGCCAGAGACAUUGAAGACAGCUGGGAAAACUUGAAUAUGCACUGGGUUUCUCUUCAGUGUAAAUAUGAUACGGAUGUCCAUAGAAAAACCUACUGGUUUCAUAAAGCAAUACAGGUCCAGGAAGAAGAGAAAGUGAGAAGGUGGCGCGUGUCUGGAGCUGGCGUUCAGAGCAGCGGGCCAGAGAAGCUGCAAUCACCUUGUUAGGACCACGAUGCAGGCGCUGGGACAAAGUAGGGCCAUACGCACAGCUCUCAAGUAAAACAAAUAACUUUCAAAAUUUAAAUGUUUCUGGGAAAUUACUAAAUUCUUUAAGAGAACGUACGUUUUCUAAAAAUAAACAUAUAAAAAUAACCCCCCC
rnacentral:lncRNA from 1 species